AUGCAAGUCGAGGGGUAACAUUUGUGCUUGCCAAGAUGACGACCGGCGCACGGGUGCGCACCGCGUAUGGAACCUGCCUUGUACAGGGGAAUAGCCCAGGGAAACUUGGAUUAAUGCCCCGUAGUACCGUGGCCCGGCAUCGGGAUACGGUUAAAGCCUUCGGGCGGUACAAGAUGGCCAUGCGUCCCAUUAGCUAGUUGGUAAGGUAACGGCUUACCAAGGCUACGAUGGGUAGGGGCCCUGAGAGGGGGAUCCCCCACACUGGUACUGAGACACGGACCAGACUCCUACGGGAGGCAGCAGUGAGGAAUAUUGGACAAUGGAGGAGACUCUGAUCCAGCCAUGCCGCGUGCAGGAAGAAUGCCCUAUGGGUAGUAAACUGCUUUUAUACGGGAAGAAAAAGAGCUACGUGUAGCUUACUGACGGUACCGUAAGAAUAAGGACCGGCUAACUCCGUGCCAGCAGCCGCGGUAAUACGGAGGGUCCGAGCGUUAUCCGGAAUUAUUGGGUUUAAAGGGUCCGUAGGCGGGCCGAUAAGUCAGGGGUGAAAGUCUGCCGCUCAACGGUAGAACUGCCUUUGAAACUGUCGGUCUUGAGUUAUAGUGAAGUUGCCGGAAUA
rnacentral:rRNA from 1 species